GCAUAACGCGAAGAACCUUACCAGGCCUUGACAUGCAGAGAACUUUCCAGAGAUGGAUUGGUGCCUUCGGGAACUCUGACACAGGUGCUGCAUGGCUGUCGUCAGCUCGUGUCGUGAGAUGUUGGGUUAAGUCCCGUAACGAGCGCGAACCCUUGUCCUUAGUUACCAGCACGUCAUGGUGGGCACUCUAAGGAGACUGCCGGUGACAAACCGGAGGAAGGUGGGGAUGACGUCAAGUCAGUCAUGGCCCUUACGGCCUGGGCUACACACGUGCUACAAUGGUCGGUACAAAGGGUUGCCAAGCCGCGAGGUGGAGCUAAUCCCAUAAAACCGAUCGUAGUCCGGAUCGCAGUCUGCAACUCGACUGCGUGAAGUCGGAAUCGCUAGUAAUCGUGAAUCAGAAUGUCACGGUGAAUACGUUCCCGGGGUCUUGUACACACCGAGUCGUGGGAGGCAAGGGCAC
rnacentral:rRNA from 1 species